rnacentral:rRNA from 1 species
GAUGAACGCUGGCGGCGUGCCUAAUACAUGCAAGUCGAACGGAGAUAUUGUAGCAAUACGGUAUUUUAGUGGCGAACGGGUGAGUAACGCGUUGGUGACCUGCCCCGAAGAGGGGGAUAACAGUCCGAAAGGAUUGCUAAUACCCCAUGUGGUCAUUUGGAUUAGAUGCCUUAUGACUAAACGGAUUUAUUCGCUUCGGGAGGGGCCUGCGUCCCAUCAGCUAGUUGGUAAGGUAAUGGCUUACCAAGGCUAUGACGGGUAGGGGACCUGAGAGGGUGGCCCCCCACAAUGGAACUGAAACACGGUCCAUACACCUACGGGUGGCUG